rnacentral:tRNA from 1 species
GGAGAGGUCGCAUAGUGGCCUAGUGCGCACGCUUGGAAAGCGUGUAAACCUGAAAGGGUUUCGGGGGUUCGAAUCCCCCCCUCUCCGCCA